rnacentral:rRNA from 1 species
AUUGAACGCUGGCGGCAUGCCUUACACAUGCAAGUCGAACGGUAACAGGUCUUCGGAUGCUGACGAGUGGCGAACGGGUGAGUAAUGUAUCGGAACGUGCCCAGUCGUGGGGGAUAACUACUCGAAAGAGUGGCUAAUACCGCAUACGACCUGAGGGUGAAAGCGGGGGACCGUAAGGCCUCGCGCGAUUGGAGCGGCCGAUAUCAGAUUAGGUAGUUGGUGGGGUAAAGGCCCACCAAGCCGACGAUCUGUAGCUGGUCUGAGAGGACGACCAGCCACACUGGGACUGAGACACGGCCCAGACUCCUACGGGAGGCAGCAGUGGGGAAUUUUGGACAAUGGGCGCAAGCCUGAUCCAGCCAUGCCGCGUGCGGGAAGAAGGCCUUCGGGUUGUAAACCGCUUUUGUCAGGGAAGAAACGGAUUUCUCUAAUACAGAGAUCUAAUGACGGUACCUGAAGAAUAAGCACCGGCUAACUACGUGCCAGCAGCCGCCGCCGUAA